GUGACCUCUGGUUGGUUGAGCCAUGUUUUCUCCUCUCUAGCCUUUACAAGAUUCAUGUUCUGUUCCAGUUCCACAGCAGAAAGUCAACUUCGAUCUCCAAACGUCAUUUCCCCUUCUCAUUUUUCUGCUAUUUCCCCAUUCUGUAGAAGGCUGCUGUGCAGAGGGUGUGAGAGGGCUGAGGAUGAGAAUACAGCUCAUUAGUUCUCCCCGGUUCUUUCCUUCAACCAGCAUCUCUUUCCUUCUUUUCAACUCAGUCUUUCCUUUUCACUGUUUUUCUUUACACCUCUCCUUAGGUGCUGCUAGAGAAGUCCCCUGGUUUUCCAAUGGGUUCCCCUGCCUUUACCUCUAAUCAACAGGCAUUUUGCACUUGUCUCAAACGCAAGCAUCGCAACAAAGUGAGAUGUCAGGCAUUGAGAAAACAUGGAAUGUGUCUGUAAAGGUUAAGGAGAAAGAGACCUGACUUUCCCCUCUUUAUUUCUUUCAGAAUAUGAGAUGUGUCCGAUCUGAGAGGGAGUAAUCACCAUGGAAUCAAUCUGAAGAACAUGAUUAGGCUGGAGAGAGAGAUGGAGAGAGAGAUGGAGAGAGAUGAGAUGGGAACAGGGAGAGAGAUGGAGGGAGGGAGGGAGUAAUAAAGACAGAGAGGGAGAGAGAUGAGAUGG
rnacentral:lncRNA from 1 species